rnacentral:tRNA from 1 species
UACUCUCUGGCUCAGAGGGUAAAGCAUCUGCCUGCAAUGCAGGAGACCUGGGUUCGAUCCCUGGGUCAGGAA